rnacentral:rRNA from 1 species
CGUGGGGAGCAACCAGGAUUAGAUACCCUGGUAGUCCACGCUGUAACGAUGUCGAUUUGGAGUUUGUUGCCUAGAGUGAUGGGCUCCGAAGCUAACGCGAUAAAUCGACCGCCUGGGGAGUACGGCCGCAAGGUUAAAACUCAAAUGAAUUGACGGGGGCCCGCACAAGCGGUGGAGCAUGUGGUUUAAUUCGAUGCAACGCGAAGAACCUUACCUGGUCUUGACAUCCAUAGAAUUCUGCAGGGAUGUGGGAGUGCCUUCGGGAACUAUGAGACAGGUGCUGCAUGGCUGUCGUCAGCUCGUGUUGUGAAAUGUUGGGUUAAGUCCCGCAACGAGCGCAACCCUUAUUCUUUGUUGCCAGCGAUUUGGUCGGGAACUCAAAGGAGACUGCCGUUGAUAAAGCGGAGGAAGGUGGGGACGACGUCAAGUCAUCAUGGCCCUUACGACCAGGGCUACACACGUGCUACAAUGGCGUAUACAAAGGGAAGCGAAGGUGCGAGCUGGAGCGGAUCUCAUAAAGUACGUCUAAGUUCGGAUUGGAGUCUGCAACUCGACUCCAUAAAGUCGGAAUCGCUAGUAAUCGUAGAUCAGAAUGCUACGGUGAAUACGUUCCCGGGCCUUGUACACACCGCCCGUCACACCAUGGGAGUGGGUUGCACCAGAAGUAGAUAGCUUAACCGCGAGGGGGGCGUUUACCACGGUGUGAUUCAUGACUGGGGUGAAGUCGUAACAAGGUAACCA